rnacentral:rRNA from 1 species
CCAGACAACCUCGGGAAACUGAGGCUAAUCCGGAAUAGGGCUCUCAUCCUGGAGUGGAGAGAGCCUGAAACGCUCCGGCGCUAUAGGAUGUGGCUGCGGCCGAUUAGGUAGACGGUGGGGUAACGGCCCACCGUGCCAGUAAUCGGUACGGGUUGUGAGAGCAAGAGCCCGGAGACGGUAUCUGAGACAAGAUACCGGGCCCUACGGGGCGCAGCAGGCGCGAAACCUUUACACUGCACGCCAGUGCGAUAAGGGGACUCCAAGUGCGAGGGCAUAUAGUCCUCGCUUUUUGCGACCGUAAGGUGGUCGCGGAAUAAGUGCUGGGCAAGACCGGUGCCAGCCGCCGCGGUAAUACCGGCAGCACGAGUGAUGACCGCUGUUAUUGGGCCUAAAGCGUCCGUAGCUGGCCGCACAAGUCUAUCGGGAAAUCUCUCCG